rnacentral:lncRNA from 1 species
AUGGUUAACUCUGCUAUGGAAAGGGAGCCAUUUAAGCAAAGGACUGUACCAUCUGGAGUGAUCUUCAGUCUCAGCCAUUUCUUUAGCUCCAACUCUUUAGUUCAUUCUUGGAGCUCCAGAAGUGCAGAGCACUUGGACUGUGGGACUUCUGUGCCUCUGUCAAUGAUCACAUACAGAUGGUAUGAAAACACAGAGAUCCAGCGGGUUCCCAUGGCAUUGAGACAAAAUUACGUGGAGUGGAGAAUUCCUUCUGAGAGACUAAAAAACAUGGAGAUGUUAUGGAUGAACGAGGCCAGACUUUCUUCAGAGGAAAAGGCUCUUGUUUAUUUAAAAAGAGCUACAGGAGAUGGAAGGCCUGAGAUAGGCUCAGACCCCCAUGCAACAAGUAAAAAAACCCAAAAACAGUGUGUCUACCCCACAUGCACACUGGGUUCUCCAGGAAGCAUUCCUGUUUUGAGGAACUCAAGUUCCCCAAAAGAGCUCCAAACUCCACCGAACUCCCAUUUUUACAACGCCCUUUGGGUCCAGGAUUGGUGAGUUUUGGAUCCACUUGGUGAUUGGUUUGUUUCUGGCUUUCCUGUUGGUCGAAUGAUUGGUUAGGCCUUUCUCCCAAGCUCCUUCUGCGGUGCUGGUUUCAUUGCGCUGACUCUGUUCCUGGAUGUUAUUCUGCCCCUUUGGACCAUGCCCCCGGUACAUCCUGGACCCUUUAGAACUUGCUAAGAGCAUUGACUAAUCCCCUUAAAACAAUAACUCCCCUUCCCAAGGUUACGAUAGUCAACUCAACCUUAACUCAAUACAAACUGAAUCUCACUUAUAACAACUAUGCUUCUAUUAAAAUAUCAGACACCAAUUUUUUUAUUACAUUGGGCCUAUCCUGGAAAUUCAUGAAUCAGACUCUUGUGAGAGUCAGACACUGUUGAUUUUUCCAGCUCUUCUUGGAGGGAACUGCCAUGUUUCAUCACACUGACCCAGGGUCAAAGAAGAAUAGGACAAAAAAAUGUUCAUAUUCAGCUUCACCUUGGAGAGUCUCAUGGCAAAGGCCUCAUAUUCAAAACUUUAUCUAGAAAGGUGGAUUUAAUAAAGUACCAUAGAAACAGUGAAAUCUAUUUUGA